rnacentral:rRNA from 1 species
CAGGGCGUCCACACCACCCUGCACGCACCCCAUCUGUCCCUUCUCAGAAGCUAAGCAGGGUUGAGCCUGGUUAGUGCUUGGAUGGGAGGAGUAGGAAAUCUAGUGUUUAGCUUCGA